CAUUUGUGGGGAGGAAGGUGAUCUCCACGUCUUACUCCUCUGCCAUCUUGAAGAAUCUUAGGUCCAUGACCAGAGAUCAGCAGUGAAGGUGCAGUGUCCUAACCACUGGACCACCAGGGAAUUCCUAAAGGGGGAGUCAUGGAAGAUUUUUCUGAACAGAGGAAUACGUAUGAUUAAAAACUUUUAUUAAAAAUGUUAAUUUGGUAGGCUUCUCUGGUAGCGCAGUGGUUGAGAGUCUGCCUGCUGAUGCAGGGGACACAGGUUCGUGCCC